rnacentral:rRNA from 1 species
UGGGGAAUAUUGCACAAUGGGCGCAAGCCUGAUGCAGCCAUGCCGCGUGUAUGAAGAAGGCCUUCGGGUUGUAAAGUACUUUCAGCGGGGAGGAAGGGAGUAAAGUUAAUACCUUUACUCAUUGACGUUACCCGCAGAAGAAGCACCGGCUAACUCCGUGCCAGCAGCCGCGGUAAUACGGAGGGUGCAAGCGUUAAUCGGAAUUACUGGGCGUAAAGCGCACGCAGGCGGGUUGUUAAGUCAGAUGUGAAAUCCCCGGGCUCAACCUGGGAACUGCAUCUGAUACUGGCAAGCUUGAGUCUCGGAGAGGGGGGUAGAAUUCCAGGUGUAGCGGUGAAAUGCGUAGAGAUCUGGAGGAAUACCGGUGGCGAAGGCGGCCCCCUGGACGAAGACUGACGCUCAGGUGCGAAAGCGGGGGGAGCAAACAGG